rnacentral:misc_RNA from 1 species
AGGAAUUCAUUGUUUUGGGGGGAGGGCUUCUACCAUCAAUGCUUUUGGCUGGCAUUUUCAGCGCCUGCUGCAACGGAAACGCGACAGUCUUCUCGAGUAAACGUGGAGCCACUGGGGCGCUUGCGCCUCUGGUAGUUUUGAAAGCUGCCUAGAGCGUUUACGCUUCUAGGGAUUCGCUCGCGGGCGUCUAGGGCUGCCCGACCGCCGGUCAGCGGAAGCAGGCCUCGGCAAGGCGAGGCGUUGGCUCCAGAGCUGACUCUAUGCACGCCUCAGACGUGCGAACUGUGCUGAGGGAUGUAGAUGGGCUGCUCUUUCAGCGGCCGCCGUGGAGAGUGCUCGCGAAAAUUCUUCGUCUAGAGCCCCGAAAUCAUCUCGUUGCCCAGAGCGUUGCCCCAAUUCCGGGGGAUUUUCCUGUUGCGUCGGUCGGUGCUUUUAUUCUCGAGGCCAUGGGGCAAAGUGGGCUCGCUCUGCUCCACGCGAGCUCGCAGCGCGUCUCCGGAACGAGCGUCGUGGCUCGAAUCAGUGGCUUCAAGUGGCCGCGAGACCUCCCCGCAGCUGUAGUCGAUCACGGAGUUGUGGUAGAGGUGAAGUUGGUGCGAGUGAGGGAGAGCGGGUUCGGACUUGUUCGCGCCACCAUAGCAAGCAACGCUGGACACUCGCUGCAUAUUGGACCAACCGAGAUACUGUACAAGAUGCUUUAAAACAAAAGCUCCUGCUCAAGACGAAUGCGACCUGUUCUGGAACAAUAUCUUUCUUGCACAUUUGACGUCGUGUACGUAAGCCGCUUCAGACGGAGCGUCUGUGCUCACGAUGGACUUGUAUCCGCGUCGGGUAUCCGCUGAAACCGAUACGCUUUGAUUUUUUCCCCAGAGAGCCAUGAAGAGCUCGAAUCGUAUUUCAUGGAAUGCUGAAAAUGAUAUGGGGCAGGACUCUUUGAUCGCUCGGAAUGUACGCAGACAUUCCAAAGCGGACGUCCUGAUGAAAUCUGCGGAGACUCAAAUACUGCUUUGGAAUUUACAGAUGCCAUGUUUAUCUGCGAGUCCAGCGUCUCACGCAGCGAUUCGUGCCCUAGUGAAACGCGACAUUAGAGGCGGUUUCUCCGUAGGCCGUGUCAGCAAGUAUCAUGUCACUAGUACAACUCGAAGCGAGGUCGCAGAGGAAACGCGUUCAUUGCAACAUGUGAGCGCUUCGCAGACCUGCAGGCGAGUGUGCUCAACACGAUAUAGUGCCCCGCCUCUCCACCUGGGCCUCUGCGAACGUAACGCGAUUUCACAAGUUCCCCGAGAAGGCCAGGGGCAGUCCAGGAUCGAUAUCCCCGACGCAUGCGUUCCAUACGGGUUGAAGGCGCCAUGUCCCAAAGUUCUUGUCCCAAAUCGUGGCGCAUUCUGCUAAGCUAAGGCGAAAAUGCUCACGAAAUCCCUGUUGGAAGCUAUUCCGCUUCACCACGACUCUGCCGACUGCAAUGAACCGGAGAGUCGCAUGCCACGAAAACGUAUUCGCUCGGGGUUACGUUUGCGCAUUACACCCGCGGGGCCAUAAACGCAUCCGGCAUUCGUUCCACGGUGUACUUGUGCUGCGCGAUGUACAUAAUAGGCACACCGGGAAUUUUCCGCAACCGUCGCCGCAAAUCCCGAUCGCAGGUGGCGACGAUGAAUACACGAUGGGCCAUAACCCGCUCAACUAUGCAAUCAUCUGCAUAAGUCCCUUUGUGUGUGCACUUGAGGCGCUGCACCAGCGAAGCGUCUCUGACAAUACGCAGUGCUACGCGGUACUUGCGUCCGAGCUUCUCGAGUUCUGCAACAACACAGUCCGUCACACAAGCUUUCGCGGGGGCAAACAGGCAAUCCAUUAGACCCUUUUGAAGAUCGAUUCGGUUCUGAAUAGAAAAAUUGAUGAAGUUUGUGUCGAUAAGCACUCGAAAGGGUGGCCCGAGCGCCGUGUUGUACUGAAAGAACAGCUCUGGAGGCACUGCGCCCAGGCGCUCCUCAUCGCGAGGUCGCUGAACAAGUGGUGCCAGCUUUUCUUUAGAUUUUUCCUUCUGAAUAAUCCGCUCAUCCUUUGGAUUCAAAACUCUCG